AACGCAACUUGCACUCUAUUUCGGUAGAGUAUGCCUGUUUGAGAAUCUAUAGUAUUUAUUAUUCCCGGUGCUUUGCUUUUGAGCUUCGCGCCGUGGAGUAGAUUUGAGGCUUCGAUUUUCGGAUCGUGCCUUUAAAAAUAUAGCCGCCUUGAAAGCGACUGUCAGUGUUUGAAUAGAACUGUGUUCUUGCCUGCGCUCCUAGUCACUUUCGCGAGGCGGUCCAUAACUAUAAAGUUUUGCUUGCGAAACUUGAACCAUGGUCUCAAAUCAGGUAGGAGGACCCGCUGAACUUAA
rnacentral:misc_RNA from 1 species